UACGGAGGGUGCGAGCGUUGUCCGGAAUCACUGGGCGUAAAGGGCGCGUAGGUGGCCUGUGGAAGUCUGCGGUGAAAGCCCGGCGCUCAACGCCGGGUCGGCCGUGGAUACUCUCGGGCUCGAGCUUACUAGAGGCAGAUGGAAUUCCGGGUGUAGCGGUGGAAUGCGCAGAUAUCAGGAGGAACACCGGUGGCGAAGGCGGUCGUGCUGGGGC
rnacentral:rRNA from 1 species